AACUACUUAUUACUUGAGUAAUUUUUCAGAUAGGUAAUUUCACUUGUACUUGAGUAAUAUUUCGUCAAAGUAUUGGUACUACUAUAUUUACUUGAGUACAGUAUUUUAGUACCGUUUCCACCUCUGAUAAAUUGGUCAGUUUCA